rnacentral:lncRNA from 1 species
AUUCGGAUCGUGGGCUCGUGGAUUCGAGUGGCGUCGUGGAUUCGGCGUGAUUGAAGCUUCGUGGAUUCGAAGUGGAGGCGUUCGUGGAUUCGGACGUGAGGGCGUGGACAACCCGGAGGGUAGCGCGAAGAUUCAUAGGAGGUUAAGAGAGGUUGAGUCCGUGGAGUCGGUAAUCACCUUGUAAUCUUUUCUCUUAGUGAAUUAUUUUUUUUCGCGUGUUGGUCCCGUGGGUUUUUCUCCAAGUUGGAGUUUUCCCACGUAAAUCUCGGUGUGCUUUUUAUUUUCCGCAUUUAUUUUUAUUGCAUCGAGAUUUGUGGUUUUUGGCCGUUACACCUAUUCACCCCCCCCCUCUAGGUGAUAGAUACAAUCUAGAUAGAUCCUUGGGCUCCUCAAAACUUUCACGAAAGCCGUACCGAACUGUAAUCUUUAUCAGAUCACUAUCGGAUUUUAUUUUCCACCUUCCGGGUGUCAGAAUGAUAUGAAACUUUAAAUCUAGCCUCAUAAAAAUAAUUCUGACUUACCCUCUAGUUUUCAUAAUUUUCUGAUACUGUGCAUUUUCUGCUAAUUUAUCUGCCCGGUUUCUCACAGAAAAUUUUAAAUCUUCUAUUUUCACUCCGAUUUCAGCACAGGUCGUUUCUAACUCAUAUUUCACUUCUCCAAAUCCAAUAAAAAUAGUAUCUCAUACUAUUUUUAUUUAUUUUAAUUUUUAUAUUUAAAAAUCCGGUAUAUUACAUUUCACCGCAACCUCACCGGAACCAUUCAAAUGACUUUCAAACCAAAUGUACACCUUAACUUCAUAAUUUUAGAAGUCCGGUUCCUUAC